rnacentral:lncRNA from 1 species
CUUCACAGUCCUGGUCAAUCACCCCAGAUAACACUGUAACUCCUUUCUUAGCCUGUUGCCUUAAAGGUAAGAGGAGCCCAAAGUUUCCAGGUGGCAAUCUUAACUUCCAGCUUAACAGAAUCAUUGUUGUGUCUCCUGGUGGCAGCAUUCUCCUUCUGGAACUAAGAACUCUAGGCCAGCAGAAUGUAAUGUCAUGGAAACAGGAAGCAAAAAUUUUGCUAGUAGAUCACUGGGGAUGAUGGUGAGUGGUGUCACUUCCACUUCCAUCCCUUUAAUCCUGGAGCCGUGAGUCCUGGCUAUGGGAGAAACAGUGCCAUAUAUGGGAUGCUGAUUCAGAGCAUACACAGUCUUCUGGAGAACUUUACCCCAGGUCUGCAAAGUAUUGUUACCUAGUUGGCAUUGUAAUUGUGACUUCAAAAGGCCGUUCCAUCAUUUUAUCAAUUCAGCUGCUUCAGGAUGACAGAUAACAUGCAGACUACCUGGUCAUGUGGCCACGUUCUCAUGGUGAUGUCAGAGGGAAGAGUGCCAGCAGAAGUACUCUGCUUAGAUCACAUCUUCUAUCAUCCCCUUGUCCAAAGAAAGGACUCCAGCUUAUGAAAGAAAACGCAAAGAAAGAAGAGACCAUUCCACUGAUUUUGGGAACAAGACAAUAUAAUGAUCACAUCUAUGCUUUACAAAGAAAACUCUGCAUCUAUAUGAAGAAUAAAUGAUGGAGCUAGGCUGGAGAAGUACACUACUUGAAGUCAACAAGAAAGCAGCUGGUGAAAGAUGAUGAGACACUUAUUAGAGGAAGAAGCAGUGAGGAUGGAAGGGAGAGAAAUAUACACUAGAGGCACUGGAAAGUGCAUCACCCACCUUAUUGAGUCAUCAGAUAUGAUAUUCUGAAUUUCCUG